CCUCAAGGGGUCUACCAAUCCCCAUUCUGGAAAUGCAAAGUCUGGAUUUUUUCUAUGCCUAAAGGCUGAAGGUUGCUCCCCAACUCCCCCGACCCAGAGGCGAAAUCAGGGAGGGGUGGAGCCCUGGACAGCAGCCAGUGCCAUCAUCAUGGCCUGCAGGGACAGUUCUUCAGAGGGGGUCCUUGGUCCAAGCCAAAGAGGCCAGCCCUUGGAUGGGCCGUCAGGGGAGACCAGCUGCAAACUGGGAAUUGAUGUGUUUGUGAGCAGAUAAGAAUGAGAGAGGGGAUGUCAAAGCUGAAGAGAGGCAGGAGCAGGUGGGAGGCCUGGAUGGAGCCAGGAGUCAGCAUGGGACAAGGUCCCACAUGGUCAAGAAACCCUUCUGGUCAAGCCCUCCUACGCCACCAUGCUGACAUGGAAUGUGUGUUUUAGUCAUGUUUUCUGGACUAUAAUAUAGCCAAUACUAUCGAGACAGUAUUCAAAGGGGGGAAAUUGAGUAAGCAAAACUGGAGGCCAUGGGGUCCAGAGUGAGGGCAUAGGAUGAUGGUUCUCAUUAGAACAUUAAAAUCACCUGGGGAGCUUUUGAAGUCCACGGAAGCCAGACCUGACCCCUAUAGAUUCUUAGUUAAUUGGUCAGAAGUGGGGCCCAAGCAUCAGUGGGUUUUUAAAGCUCUCCAGGUGAUUCUAAUGUACUUGAGCCUGGAUCAGGCAAAAACAAACAGGAAGCAGGGAGAAUAUGCUUAUCCACUCAGCUUCUCGUCUCCCAGCCGAGUGCCUGCUCGUCCAGCUCACUCCGGGUGCCACGACCUUGUCGCAGCCUAUUCGCAGUCCAGAGAAACUGAAGGAAACUGAUUGCAUUAGCUCAGUCCAGCACCUUACAAUUUUUGCAACUGGUCAAAAGAAAGAGGGCUACCAUGCAGGAAUAAUUGGACCAUGCCUGGACAAGCACAAUGAGUUGGACGCAAGCCUUCAAUUCUAAUCUGGCAGCACACUUGUUGAUAAAUUGCAAAACGUCUCCUGGUUUCCAUGGAAAAAAAGGAAGGAUGAUGCUCAGCUGUGGAUAAUAUCAACAACAAUGGGAUGAACAAUUUUGAUGAAUGCAAACUGAAAGAAAAUGCAGCAUAUGAAAUUCACAUUUUGGUAUAUUUUUAUUUGCUGAGUCUUUUCAGCUUUAAUAAACACAUGUCAAGAUAUACCUACUAAAUAUUCUGUCUUCUAUUGUGCAUUUUAGAAUGUCAAUUUUAAACUUAAAGUGCCCCCAAAUAUUUGGAAGAACAGGGUGAGGUGCAAGAACUUUUUUUU